rnacentral:rRNA from 1 species
CCGAGUGGCGGACGGGUGGGUAACGCGUGGGUAACCUGCCUCAUGCAGGGGGAUAACGGUUAGAAAUGACUGCUAAUACCGCAUAAGCGCACAGUACCGCAUGGUACGGUGUGAAAAACUCCGGUGGUAUGAGAUGGACCCGCGUCUGAUUAGCUAGUUGGUGGGGUAACGGCCUACCAAGGCGACGAUCAAUAGCCGACCUGAGAGGGUGACCGGCCACAUUGGGACUGAGACACGGCCCAA